GCAAGUCGAACGAGAAGCCUGUAAUGAAUACUUCGGUAGGAUUGAUGGGUGGAAAGUGGCGAACGGUUGAGUAACACGUGGGUGACCUGCCCUGGAGAGGGGGAUAACCAUUCGAAAGGAUGGCUAAUACCGCAUAAUCCUAAUUACAUGGGAAUGUAGCUAGGGAAAACUCCGGUGCUCUGGGAGGGGCCUGCGUCCGAUUAGCUAGUUGGUGAGGUAAGAGCCUACCAAGGCGACGAUCGGUAGCUGGUCUGAGAGGACGAUC
rnacentral:rRNA from 1 species